rnacentral:rRNA from 1 species
UGAGGAAAAUUUCUGAACCUUCGGGGGAACGAUAACGGCGUCGAGCGGCGGACGGGUGAGUAAUGCCUAGGAAAUUGCCCUGAUGUGGGGGAUAACCAUUGGAAACGAUGGCUAAUACCGCAUGAUGCCUACGGGCCAAAGAGGGGGACCUUCGGGCCUCUCGCGUCAGGAUAUGCCUAGGUGGGAUUAGCUAGUUGGUGAGGUAAGGGCUCACCAAGGCGACGAUCCCUAGCUGGUCUGAGAGGAUGAUCAGCCACACUGGAACUGAGACACGGUCCAGACUCCUACGGGAGGCAGCAGUGGGGAAUAUUGCACAAUGGGCGCAAGCCUGAUGCAGCCAUGCCGCGUGUGUGAAGAAGGCCUUCGGGUUGUAAAGCACUUUCAGUCGUGAGGAAGGUGGUGUAGUUAAUAGCUGCAUUAUUUGACGUUAGCGACAGAAGAAGCACCGGCUAACUCCGUGCCAGCAGCCGCGGUAAUACGGAGGGUGCGAGCGUUAAUCGGAAUUACUGGGCGUAAAGCGCAUGCAGGUGGUUUGUUAAGUCAGAUGUGAAAGCCCGGGGCUCAACCUCGGAAUAGCAUUUGAAACUGGCAGACUAGAGUACUGUACAGGGGGG